rnacentral:rRNA from 1 species
UACGAAGGGGGCUAGCGUUGUUCGGAAUCACUGGGCGUAAAGCGCACGUAGGCGGAUCUUUAAGUCAGAGGUGAAAUCCCAAGGCUCAACCUUGGAACUGCCUUUGAUACUGGGGAUCUUGAGUCCGGGAGAGGUGAGUGGAACUGCGAGUGUAGAGGUGAAAUUCGUAGAUAUUCGGAAGAACACCAGUGGCGAAGGCGGCUCACUGGUCCGGUACUGACGCUGAGGUGCGAAAGCGUGGGGAGCAAACAGGG